rnacentral:rRNA from 1 species
CCUACGGUGUGCUGCAGUGGGGAAUAUUGGACAAUGGGCGAAAGCCUGAUCCAGCCAUGCCGCGUGUGUGAAGAAGGCCUUCGGGUUGUAAAGCACUUUCAGUGGGGAAGAAAGCCUUGGGGCUAAUACCCUCGAGGAAGGACAUCACCCACAGAAGAAGCACCGGCUAACUCCGUGCCAGCAGCCGCGGUAAUACGGAGGGUGCGAGCGUUAAUCGGAAUUACUGGGCGUAAAGCGCGCGUAGGCGGUCUGAUAAGCCGGUUGUGAAAGCCCCGGGCUCAACCUGGGAACGGCAUCCGGAACUGUCAGGCUAGAGUGCAGGAGAGGAAGGUAGAAUUCCCGGUGUAGCGGUGAAAUGCGUAGAGAUCGGGAGGAAUACCAGUGGCGAAGGCGGCCUUCUGGACUGACACUGACGCUGAGGUGCGAAAGCGUGGGUAGCAAACAGGAUUAGAUACCCCUGUAGUC